CUCCCCUUGGUGUAGUGGUUAUCACGCUCGACUGUAAUAUUAAUUGUAUUCGAGAGGUCCUUCGUUCGAUUCGUUAGAGGGGAGA